UACGAAGGGGGCUAGCGUUGCUCGGAAUCACUGGGCGUAAAGGGUGCGUAGGCGGGUCUUUAAGUCAGGGGUGAAAUCCUGGAGCUCAACUCCAGAACUGCCUUUGAUACUGAAGAUCUUGAGUUCGGGAGAGGUGAGUGGAACUGCGAGUGUAGAGGUGAAAUUCGUAGAUAUUCGCAAGAACACCAGUGGCGAAGGCGGCUCACUGGCCCGAUACUGACGCUGAGGCACGAAAGCGUGGGGAGCGAUCCGG
rnacentral:rRNA from 1 species